rnacentral:rRNA from 1 species
UGAGCAAUCUGCCCUUCUCUUCGGAAUAAGCGUGGGAAACCGCGUCUAAUGCCGAAUACGACCUCCCUUCGCAUGAUCGGAGGUGGAAAGCUCCGGCGGAGAAGGAUGAGCUCGCGGCCUAUCAGCUAGUUGGUGUGGGUAAUGGCCCACCAAGGCGACGACGGGUAGCCGGCCUGAGAGGGUGACCGGCCACACUGGGACUGAGACACGGCCCAGACUCCUACGGGAGGCAG